CACACCAAAAUGCUCCUUGGCUUCUUGUUGUCUGGAUAUGUUGCUUUCAGCUAUUAUUUCUAGGUCCUUCCACCGUUGAAUUGGUUGCUCAGGAUCACAAUGAAUGUUACUUUUAUGAAAGUAAUUCAACAGCCAGUAGUAUACUUCCAAAUAUAUAAAUAUUAUCGUCUUGAUAUGUUAUUGGCCUCAAUAGAUAUUGGAUAUGAAUUUUGAAUAUCAGUAUAAAAAUAUGUACUUCAACUUGAAUAUAUAAGUAAUAUAUCAUAAUGUAUCCUUUUCAAAUGUGA